rnacentral:lncRNA from 1 species
AAGAAGAAGGAUUCUUUUUCUCUUCAUGGUGAUUUAAUUCAGAUCCCAUCGGAUCUGCACGAAAGAGUUCGUGCAGCGAUCUUCUUCUUCAAAAUCUAGAAGAAGAGAUCUAGAUUCAAAGAUGAGGAGCAAGAUCUACAAGGUGCUAACACAUCGGUGAUUUCAGUACUCUGAUCAAACAUCUCAGUGUGGAUACCAG